rnacentral:rRNA from 1 species
AGGACGAACGCUGGCGGCGUGCUUAACACAUGCAAGUCGAACGAUGAACCGGUUUCGGCCGGGGAUUAGUGGCGAACGGGUGAGUAACACGUGGGCAAUCUGCCCUGCACUCUGGGAUAAGCCCGGGAAACUGGGUCUAAUACCGGAUACGACACUCCGAGGCAUCUCGGGGUGUGGAAAGUUCCGGCGGUGCAGGAUGAGCCCGCGGCCUAUCAGCUUGUUGGUGGGGUAAUGGCCUACCAAGGCGACGACGGGUAGCCGGCCUGAGAGGGUGACCGGCCACACUGGGACUGAGACACGGCCCAGACUCCUACGGGAGGCAGCAGUGGGGAAUAUUGCACAAUGGGCGAAAGCCUGAUGCAGCGACGCCGCGUGAGGGAUGACGGCCUUCGGGUUGUAAACCUCUUUCAGCAGGGAAGAAGCGAAAGUGACGGUACCUGCAGAAGAAGCACCGGCUAACUACGUGCCAGCAGCCGCGGUAAUACGUAGGGUGCGAGCGUUGUCCGGAAUUAUUGGGCGUAAAGAGCUCGUAGGCGGUUUGUCGCGUCGAUUGUGAAAGCCCGGGGCUUAACCCUGGGUCUGCAGUCGAUACGGGCAGGCUAGAGUUCGGCAGGGGAGACUGGAAUUCCUGGUGUAGCGGUGAAAUGCGCAGAUAUCAGGAGGAACACCGGUGGCGAAGGCGGGUCUCUGGGCCGAUACUGACGCUGAGGAGCGAAAGCGUGGGGAGCGAACAGGAUUAGAUACCCUGGUAGUCCACGCCGUAAACGGUGGGCACUAGGUGUGGGCAACAUUCCACGUUGUCCGUGCCGCAGCUAACGCAUUAA